UCUGUAUAUGCUUUUCCAAAUGAAGAAAAUACAUUACUUUUGGUUUCUAAUUUGUUCUAGAAAUAUUAAUGCAGCAUUCUCCCAGCAGAGGCCCACACAUGGCAGAAGACAUCAUCAGGGAUCCCAGAAGCUGCUGUCCUGAUGGAGAAGCAGAUCUGCUUCCAGGGAGGUGCACAGUGCCCAGGGUGCAGGCAUGGCAGAGACUUUCAGAAACAAUUGAAAGCUAAUGGAUACUUUGAAGAAAGAAGAAGAAAUUGAUAAACUAGAGAGGAGCACAAAAAUUUUUGUCCAUAAUUUAAUUCAUUGGAAACCCUAACUUAACUGAAGAUAAGGGCAAAAGGGAACUGACUGGCUUUGUGCCUUGCAUCAUCACCUCUGCAGGAAAGUAGAACUACUUGGGGUGAAUCGUGGCUAAGGGGGUUCUCAGGCCGAUACUUCUGAAAUGUGACUUGUGUAGUGUUGGGCUUGGGCCAGAGCUGAAUCUGAAUUAUUGGUGCAGAAAUUUUUCAUCCUGAGGACAAUCUCAGUUUUUCUCUGAGAGCCUGGCUAAUCUUUGGCUAUUGUAUUAUCACUUUCCCUACACUGGGACAAAAUACCACACAAGCAUACUUUAAAGGAGGAGAAGCUUAUUUUGGUUCAUAGUUUCAAGGGAUUCAGUCCAAGGUCAGUUGGCUCCAGGUGCAGACUGCAUGGUUAAGGGCAUAGUGGAGCAAAGCUGCUCAACCCAUGGCAGCCAGGAAGCAGAGCAAGAAGGGAGGAGCCAGGGAUGAGAAUUCUACACAUGUAUAGUCAACUGAAUUCAAUAGGGAGUUAAGAAGGAAUGAUGGAGAAAGGGAACUCUCUUUAACAAGUGAGCAUGUAUAACUGGAUAUCUACAUGCAAAGGAACAAAUUUGGGCCUGUAUCUUACCAUGAUACAAAAAUUAUAUAAAAAUCAAAAUAUGAAACACACUCAUAAGACUUCUAAAAGAAACAGGAAAAAUCUCAUUUACAUCAAUCGUGGCAGUUUAAAUAUUUUAAAACAUUUUAAACUUGCUUCCAAAAGUUGAGGCAAAACAAGCAGAAAUAGACAAGUCAGAGUACAUGAAAUAUAAUUCAUUUUCAUGAAAAGAAAAUAAGUGAUGAAGUGAUAAGCCUACCUGUGAGAGGAAGGAGAAUGUUUGAUUUUCACAUAUCUAAUAAUGGUUAAACAUCUAGCAUAAAAAAGAAAUUUCACACUUUAGUUUCAAUAAAUGAGCAAACAAAUUUCCUUUUUAAAAUUGCAGAAGAUUUCAACAGACAUUUUUCAAAAGACACAUACCGAUGGAGAACAGAUGCAUGAGAAGGUUCAAAAAUCAUCACAAAUCAUCAAGGAAAUACAAAUGACUAUGACAAUAUAGUAACACUUAAUGUGUUAAAAAUAUAAAUGGCAAAUAUUACUACACUAACAAUUUAAAAUAUAUUUAUGUAAAAGCUAGCUAAAGGAAUCAAAACACAAGUCACAGGUUCAGAAAAUAUACUUGAUAGUUGCAAAAUUAUUAAAGGACUUGUCACAAAAAUUACAAGGUCUUUUAAGAUAGAAUAAAAAACCCCCCAGAAAAUGCAAUAAAGAUAGAAAUGGAAUAAGUUAACUAGGGCUACUUGAAAACUCAUUUUAUGUGGGUUUCAGUGAAAUGUAUAUUUAUGUGAUCACGAGAUACCCAUCAUUUAGAAAACCUAAAAAUUUAAUAUUGACUCAAAAAAUCCUGAGGAGGUUAAGGGCAACAGGACUCUUAUUCCCUGCUGAUGAGAAAGCACAAUGGCUCCUCCACUGUGGAAGACACUUGGGGGAUUUCUUGUGGAGGUGAAGAUAGCCAUGAGGGAAUCGUCUGAGGGGUUCACUCAACUGAGCUGAAAACCUAUGCUCUCAGACAACGCAUGAGGAUGCUUCCAUCACCCUCAUCCCCUUCAGCUCUCCCCACUGGAUGAAGAUCGAUUGGAGGCACAGCUUGACAUCUGGAGAAUUCUGGGACAGACGAAUCAGGACUGGCAACAUCAGCAACAGCCACCUGUGCAGCAGAGAACACAAAGAUUUCUCAGGGAGGAGCCCAAGAGGCAACACAGCCUCCUGGACUCUCCACUGGUGCUCAGCUGUGCAGACUCCUCCAGGAAGAGCCUCCACCCCUUGCCUGUCUGCAGGGCCCUCUUGAACCCUAGAGUCCAUCAGUCCUGCUCCUGAUAUUCACCCAAAGAAGUGUGACACACAUGACAAUGUGGUGGGUACAUGUCAUUAAACAUUUGUCCAAACACGCAGAAUGCACAGCACCAGGGAGUGAACCCGUGUGAGAGCCAUGGGUGGGAGAUGAUGCUAUGUCACUGAGAGUCCAACACUAGAACAUAGAAGGACUAGAGUGAGGGUGCUGCUGCUGGGAAGGGUUUUGCACAUUGGGCAGAGGCUCAAGGGAAACCUCUGUACUUUCUCCUUAGGAUUCUGUGAACAUAAACCUGCACAAUAAGUAAUUAUUGACCAGAAAUAGCCGAGGCAUUCUAGGAGAUAUUCUUGCCACUUUUCUCAAAUUAAACAGGACAUUGUUGUAUGGUAGAAGAACUCUGUUUCUAGUUAUUUCCCAGUUGAUUUGAAAUACAUGUCUACACAAAUACCUUCCUGGAAUUGCCUGUGACCACCUUAUUAGUUGUAAGAUUUCUCUGUUCCUUAGGAAGAAAAGGCCCAAAGGGGUAGGGGUGUCGGGAGAGGAAGGAGAAAGGAAAGAAGGGAAAGAAAAAAUUAUGAGAAAAGAAAAGAAAUGGAAAUGAAGUCUAUGUAAAUAGGGAAGGGUGGAGGGGGUGGAGGGGGUGAAGUGUGCACAGGUAACGGGGAAAAAAUAAGAACCAAGAUACACCAUGUACAGGUACAAGCACCC
ensembl:lncRNA